rnacentral:rRNA from 1 species
GACGAACGCUGGCGGCGUGCUUAACACAUGCAAGUCGAACGGAAAGGCCCUGCUUUUGUGGGGUGCUCGAGUGGCGAACGGGUGAGUAACACGUGAGUAACCUGCCCUUGACUUUGGGAUAACUUCUGGAAACUGGGGCUAAUACCGGAUAGGAGCUCCUGCUGCAUGGUGGGGGUUGGAAAGUUUCGGCGGUUGGGGAUGGACUCGCGGCUUAUCAGCUUGUUGGUGGGGUAGUGGCUUACCAAGGCUUUGACGGGUAGCCGGCCUGAGAGGGUGACCGGCCACAUUGGGACUGAGAUACGGCCCAGACUCCUACGGGAGGCAGCAGUGGGGAGUAUGGCACAAUGGGCGGAAGCCUGAUGCAGCAACGCCGCGUGCGGGAUGACGGCCUUCGGGUUGUAAACCGCUUUCGCCUGUGACGAAGCGUGAGUGACGGUAAUGGGUAAAGAAGCACCGGCUAACUACGUG